GCCUCGGUCUGCGCAACUCAACCACUCCAUCCAAAUCUGAUGUUUUACAUCUCCCAUCUCCCUCCGAAACCCCCGUCCUUGUCGUCCAGACGCAAUUAGUCCAUGUAUACAGCGAGGGUUUGUGAACCCGGUGGCAGCAGUUUCGAGGCCACGGUCAUGGCAGUGGGAAUUCAUUAUAGGAGGAUGGCUCACCGGCGUCACGUGCAGAGGGUCGGAGAGAGAGAGGGGAGGAAUGGGUGCAUGGUUUCGUGGUCAUUUCUGAGGACUGCACAGCUGUAGGGCCGCGGUCUGCCGCUCGGUCUCGUCUUUUACUCCAUCUCUUUCCACACAUACGCCUCCUCUCUUUAUUUCUGUUGCUGUUCCUUUGUUCAUGGCAGACCCACACCCCACUACUCUCUCUCAUCUCUUAUUCCGGGAGAGGGUAAUCAUUUCCUUCAUCAUCACCUCCUAUUGCUGCCUCAGCUUGACUGCCCUCCCUUCCCCCAUGAAAGGAGGCGGAAGUGUUGGGGGAGAGAGGAGGAGGAGGAGGAGGAGGAGGCGGCAAAGACUGGAUGACCCGGGAAAGGGAAGGACAUGCAGCUCAAGGAGAAGGAAAAAAGGAAGCUUUAUCCUUGAGGGGAAUGUUGUCUGGCUCGAGGUCAUUCGUUUCUCUUACAGAUUAUGCAGAUCUAUGUGAAGAGAUCUCGGACCAGGCUUCAUUCCCCCCAACGAUCGCUUCCGUCUCUCCACCUCUCGAUCCCCGGCACCGAUCGUUCGAUCGACUUGGUUGCGUCUCUAUCUUCGGCUCCCCUCUUCUCUUACUGUGGCUGACACCUUUUCUUUCUUCUCGUUGAGCAGAUAGAUUGGCGUAAUGAUGGGGGUUUACGACUGUCUUUCUUUCUUUCGCGACCUUCUUGUCCAGAUUUCAUCCUGACACGAGGCCAAAAAGCUUUCAUCAUGACCUCCUCCGAGGGGUUUCUCGUGUCUGCCUUCCUCCUUGCUCCCUGCGAAUCUGCAUGCUGAGUUACCUGCAAGAUUUCCAGGUCAACUGAGUUCAGAUCUCUUUUUCUCCCUUUUUCUUGGGGGCACGUUUCAGCUCAUCUCUUCUCUUAUUUUCUCGUGCUUGUCUGCCGGAACUGUUUAGGGUUCCUAAGAUUAUCUCUAUCUGUGGUUACAUGUUACUCUGCCACUGCCAUGAUAGCUACAAUAUGGCUUAUCUCUUAGCUACAUCAUGCUUUCCUCUUAGCACACUAGAAGAAUCUUUGGACAUGGAAGCAUAUGGUGCCCCUUCCAUUUUGAUACACAGGUGAUUAGGGCACAGUUGCUGGAAAUGUGAGAUUAGUUGAUGGCAUUUGCCUUCUUGAAACCCCCCCUUUAUCCUUAUAUGGCAGUACAUGUUUCUGCCUAUAUAUUGCCUUGUUGAAACCUGAAUCCACGACAUGUAUGUGUCGUCGUCGUCGUCGUCGUCGUCGUCUUUGACAUACGCAUGUUGACUUCACGUCAUAUUUAUUCCCAUAAAUCUACAAGUGCAAACCUGCUCGAUAUCUUCUUUGAUGGAAACAAGAUGCACGAUCACAUGAACAGCAGUUGUCAUUGCCAUUCCCAUUGCCUAGUUUGCUUGUGCAGCUGAAGGAGGAAAGGCAUAGGCGCAGCAUGAAUCUGGAAACACGUGUGUGGGAAAGGUGGCCAUCCGAAUGAGGUACGGAGGGAUGGGAGAGGCAGAGAGGGGGCUCAGACCACAGCUUAGGGUUUCGUUCGCACACAGGAGGCAGAGAUGGCAGCUUUCGAUUCGGAGACUCCCACACGGAACCAGAAAACCUCAGCCUUUCACUCCCAAUACUUUCCUUGCGGUAACCUUCACUUCCAUUCUUCAUCCGAGCUUGCAUCCUCUUCUCGUUCCUUUCAUCUAGGUUAUGAAUGUUAAACAGACUCAUACAUUUCUCUCUCUCUCUCUCUCUCUCUCUCUCUUAUAGAUAGAGAUGGAUUUUGAAUGUUUUGUUGAAGGUCAACUUAAGCUUUUGUGGGAAUCGAUGAUGUUUGACUUUGAUUUUGGGGUUCCACGAAGAGAAGAGCAUUGGAAAUGAUGGACUCGGUGACUCAUACCUUUCUUUCUCAUCUUCCUUGGCGUGGAUCAGAUCAUCCACCACCUCCUCAGGUUCAUGAUAUUGAAGUAGCGUCGCGAGGAUUCCUCACCGCUGAAAUAAUGUUGUUAAUGUAAACAACUUUAUGCUAGGGCAUCGGGGCCGACGCGGCUUGGUUCAUAUCCGAAUGCACGGGGAUUUUGCUGAGGUGGCUGAUUACGGCGGUCCGGUCGGGACGUCGGGUCAGGAGCGAAGCUUUUCCGCAGCGCCGGAAAGAUGCAACCCCGCCCUUGUACCUGCACACAGGUUGGGUCGGAAGCUCGGCCCGACCCCUCCGACGAUCAAGUUAGAUGAUGUAGAGGGUGUUUUACGGUGGAGAAGUGUAUCCCCCUCUUCCUCGACAGGCAAGGGGUUUUAUAGUGAAGGGUUACCGUUAUCCGAUGUGACCGUUUGCAGGGAGCAGGGUCGUACUUCUGGUUACGUCCGGCAGUGGCGUUGGCGUGGCGUGUAGGGGCAAGUCCGAGCAGAGUGUUAAUGCGCCUCAGUGGGUGUUCCGGUCAGUUGACCGAGUGCUGUCGGGUCGAUCGAGGCGCGAGGCGUCAUCCAGGGUGACUGAUGUUAAUCAGGUCACGUCGCCAUUAUUGCUUCUAUCAGAGGGUGUCCUUUCGGUUGACCUGGUUCCCACAGACGGCGAACGUUACCAACUGUAAUGCUGUUGGGUCUCCGGUGAUUCCCUCAUCAAAUGUGAUUUCAAUCAUUGCAUUUCCACAUGAUCUAGUUAGUGAUGGUAGAUCGAGUGAUUUCCACAUGAUCCAGUUAGUGAUGGUAGAUCUAGUUAGUGAUUUCAAUCACUGCAUUUGCACUCUGUCAUUACCUUCUUACAGGUUUAAAUGGUGAUAGAAGAUUCAUAUAGCCGAUUCUAAAUAAUUGAAACUUAUGAUUUCAUUGUUA